GCGGCAGGCCUAACACAUGCAAGUCGAACGCUGUAGCAAUACAGAGUGGCAGACGGGUGAGUAACGCGUGGGAACAUGCCCUUCGGUUCGGAAUAACUCAGGGAAACUUGAGCUAAUACCGGAUACGCCCUUAGGGGGAAAGAUUUAUUGCCGAAGGAUUGGCCCGCGUCCGAUUAGCUAGUUGGUGAGGUAAUGGCUCACCAAGGCGACGAUCGGUAGCUGGUCUGAGAGGAUGAUCAGCCACACUGGGACUGAGACACGGCCCAGACUCCUACGGGAGGCAGCAGUGGGGAAUAUUGGACAAUGGGCGCAAGCCUGAUCCAGCCAUGCCGCGUGAGUGAUGAAGGCCCUAGGGUUGUAAAGCUCUUUCGCCAGGGACGAUAAUGACGGUACCUGGAUAAGAACCCCGGCUAACUUCGUGCCA
rnacentral:rRNA from 1 species